rnacentral:rRNA from 1 species
AUAAUGGGUCAGCGACUUAUAUUCUGUAGCAAGGUUAACCGAAUAGGGGAGCCGAAGGGAAACCGAGUCUUAACUGGGCGUUAAGUUGCAGGGUAUAGACCCGAAACCCGGUGAUCUAGCCAUGGGCAGGUUGAAGGUUGGGUAACACUAACUGGAGGACCGAACCGACUAAUGUUGAAAAAUUAGCGGAUGACUUGUGGCUGGGGGUGAAAGGCCAAUCAAACCGGGAGAUAGCUGGUUCUCCCCGAAAGCUAUUUAGGUAGCGCCUCGUGAAUUCAUCUCCGGGGGUAGAGCACUGUUUCGGCAAGGGGGUCAUCCCGACUUACCAACCCGAUGCAAACUGCGAAUACCGGAGAAUGUUAUCACGGGAGACACACGGCGGGUGCUAACGUCCGUCGUGAAGAGGGAAACAACCCAGACCGCCAGCUAAGGUCCCAAAGUCAUGGUUAAGUGGGAAACGAUGUGGGAAGGCCCAGACAGCCAGGAUGUUGGCUUAGAAGCAGCCAUCAUUUAAAGAAAGCGUAAUAGCUCACUGGUCGAGUCGGCCUGCGCGGAAGAUGUAACGGGGCUAAACCAUGCACCGAAGCUGCGGCAGCGACGCUUAUGCGUUGUUGGGUAGGGGAGCGUUCUGUAAGCCUGCGAAGGUGUGCUGUGA